UCUUAUGGAUGGGCAAAGAAAGUGGUUUCUUGAGAUGGAAUCUACUCCUGGUGAAGAUGCUGUGAA
rnacentral:pre_miRNA from 1 species